ACACAUGCAAGUCGAACGAGCGAGAGAGAGCUUGCUUUCUCGAGCGAGUGGCGAACGGGUGAGUAACGCGUGAGGAACCUGCCUCAAAGAGGGGGACAACAGUUGGAAACGACUGCUAAUACCGCAUAAGCCCACAGGUCGGCAUCGACCAGAGGGAAAAGGAGCAAUCCGCUUUGAGAUGGCCUCGCGUCCGAUUAGCUAGUUGGUGAGGUAACGGCCCACCAAGGCAACGAUCGGUAGCCGGACUGAGAGGUUGAACGGCCACAUUGGGACUGAGACACGGCCCAGACUCCUACGGGAGGCAGCAGUGGGGAAUAUUGCACAAUGGGGGAAACCCUGAUGCAGCGACGCCGCGUGGAGGAAGAAGGUCUUCGGAUUGUAAACUCCUGUUGUUGAGGAAGAUAAUGACGGUACUCAACAAGGAAGUGACGGCUAACUACGUGCCAGCAGCCGCGGUAAAACGUAGGUCACAAGCGUUGUCCGGAAUUACUGGGUGUAAAGGGAGCGCAGGCGGGAAGACAAGUUGGAAGUGAAAUCUAUGGGCUCAACCCAUAAACUGCUUUCAAAACUGUUUUUCUUGAGUAGUGCAGAGGUAGGCGGAAUUCCCGGUGUAGCGGUGGAAUGCGUAGAUAUCGGGAGGAACACCAGUGGCGAAGGCGGCCUACUGGGCACCAACUGACGCUGAGGCUCGAAAGUGUGGGUAGCAAACAGGAUUAGAUACCCUGGUAGUCCACACCGUAAACGAUGAUUACUAGGUGUUGGAGGAUUGACCCCUUCAGUGCCGCAGUUAACACAAUAAGUAAUCCACCUGGGGAGUACGACCGCAAGGUUGAAACUCAA
rnacentral:rRNA from 1 species